UGGUUCUCGCAUCGAUGAAGGACGCAGCGAAAUGCGAUAAGUAAUGUGAAUUGCAGAAUUCAGUGAAUCAUCGAAUCUUUGAACGCACCUUGCACCUUUUGGUAUUCCGAAAGGUACAUCUGUUUGAGUGUCAUGAAUCCCUCAACCUCUGCAAUUUAUUGUUAGAGCGUUGGAUGCUGAGUGUUGCUGGUUACAGCUCACUUUAAAUGUAUAAGCAAUCUUGUUACAUCCGGAUUGACUCGGCAUAAUAAGGUCUUUGCUGAGGAUGCUUUACAGCAGCCGGUGUUACAAGUUGCUCCAAAUCAGUACUCUGAAUUAGACCUCAAAUCAGAUGGGACUACCCGCUGA
rnacentral:misc_RNA from 1 species